rnacentral:rRNA from 1 species
GUAGCAGAGUAGUUUGUUCUUUAAUUGGGAGUUGGUAUGAAAGGUUACACAAAGAAUAUCUUUUAAGGUAAAAUAAAGUAAAUUAAAUUUUGAGUCAUAAUGCUUGAAUGGAAUAAAGGGACGAUAAGACCCUAAAAGCUUAAUUUACUUAUAAUUGAAUUAAAUUUAUUGUAAAAAUAUAUUGGUAGUGAGAUUAGCUGGGGAAGCGGUUUUGGGAAAUUAAAACCAAGGUGUAUUAAUAUUUAAGGUGAAAGUUCUUUCAGAUAAGAAUUAUUAGGAAGAGUUACUUUAGGGAUAACAGCGCAAUGGUUUUGGAGAGUUCUUAUUUAUAAUAUUAUGUGCGACCUCGAUGUUGAAUUAAGAUGUCUUAAGGGGGCAGAAAACCUGUAAGAGGGUUUGUUCAACCUUUAAAUUUUU